CUACACGGGUUUCUAAUCCUGUUUGCUCCCCACGCUUUCGCACCUCAGCGUCAGUACCGGGCCAGUGAGCCGCCUUCGCCACUGGUGUUCUUGCGAAUAUCUACGAAUUUCACCUCUACACUCGCAGUUCCACUCACCUCUCCCGGACUCGAGACUCUCAGUAUCGAAGGCAGUUCUGGAGUUGAGCUCCAGGAUUUCACCACCGACUUAAGAGUCCGCCUACGUGCGCUUUACGCCCAGUGAUUCCGAGCAACGCUAGCCCCCUUCGUAUUACCGCGGCUGCUGGCAC
rnacentral:rRNA from 1 species